ensembl:lncRNA
AUUACAUCUAGAUCACUUUGCAGUUGCUCUGGCAGAACAUGACUAUUACACCAAUGCUGAAAAAUGCACCAUUAUGUGCGAUUACUGAACAACAGCCAUCCAUGCUAUAUUAAAUUGCAUUCAGAAUCAUUUAAGCCAUCUCUACUGAAAGAAAUACAGCUUGUUCAGGCCAAGCUGAUCCAGAACAUCUUUGCUAGCUGGUAACUGCUGAUAAAAAGGAAACAGCUUGUGAAUGACCGCUAUUAAUGCUUCAUCAUAGGUAAAAUAAUUACUGAAGACAGUACAACAGUACAGCAAUUAGAAACUCAAACUUUUAUUGAUCAAUAUACUAAGUAUAAUAUAUUAGUUCAUAAUUAAUAUUUGAGAUUAGGGUAGUCUCAUAUGAAUAUUUUUUUGAGAUGAGCUCUCAGAAGCAGCGUCGUCGUCGUCACCCGCCAUUAUCAUCAUCAUCAUCUUCUUCCUAGGCUGUACACUUGAGCUGUCGAUCCAAAUCUCACUAGCCAAUGAGAGUAAAUCGGUGUUAAGCCCCGCCCACACAAGGGUUUGUGCCAGAAUAGCGAACGUAAACUUGCUGAGCGUAAACAAAAUCUCUAGAAGCGCAUUCAUAAACCGUGAUUAACCAAAACGAAGCUUAGAAAACUGUUAACAAAAAAUGAUAUUUAUUUGAAGUCCAUGUAAAUUUUUUUGCCACCGAGUUCACUGUUUUCAGUUUCAGAGUGUUUUUCUUCUCUCGUUGUAUAUUUUUGUUCGUUUCUUGAAAAGCUGCGGUCAAUACUCAUGGCGCAAAUUUCAUUCCAUGUGAACUUAAGAGUCUCUGAAACGUUCAGCACAGUAGAAAGUACUGGGUGAACAAUGUUUCUUUCAAGAUCUCGGAAACUUGCAAUUUUAAGCUUAUAGGUUAAAGCUAAGGUCUAAUGCUAAGCUUUAGACUAAACUUAAGGCUUAAUUCUCAGCCGUGGCCUCAGCGUAUCUUUUUAUUUUGUGAAACUCCAUGAAAACUGUCUGUGAACAGUUUAAAUUUUUUUUUAAGCUGUAACCUCAACAGCUACUGCUUGUGAAACAAAACGCAGGCUAUGUUUAUAUCGGUCACCUGCUGUGGUGUGUGUCGCCAGCUGUUACUUAAGACUGUGUGUGCUGCGACAACCUGUG